GAAACCAAGUGAUUUCCAUGUCAAGUGGUGAACAGGCUAAGAAGAAAAACAGAGUCUCGCUGCAUCCCCCAGGCUGGAGUACAGUGGUAUGAUCUUGGCUCACUGCAACCUCUGCCUCCUAGGUUCAAGUGAUUCUCCUGCCUCAGUCUCCCGAGUAGCUGGGAUUACAGGCGCCCACCACCAUGCCCGGCUAAUUUUUGUAUUUUUAGUAGAGAUGGGGUUUCACUAUGUUGGCCAGGCUGGUCUCAAACUCCUGACCUCAGGUGAUCUGCCUGACUUGGCCUCCCAAAGUGCUGGGAUUACAGGCAUGAGCCACCUUGCCUGGCCUCUUCCUAAUGAUUUUUUAAAGUACAUCUUGUUUUCUCUGUCUUACUUUAUCAUAAAAAUAUAUGAUACAAAUAAAAUACAGAAUAUGUGUUAA
ensembl:lncRNA novel transcript